rnacentral:rRNA from 1 species
AUUGAACGCUGGCGGCAUGCUUUACACAUGCAAGUCGAACGGUAACAGGCCGCAAGGUGCUGACGAGUGGCGAACGGGUGAGUAAUGCAUCGGAACGUGCCCAGUCGUGGGGGAUAACGCAGCGAAAGCUGUGCUAAUACCGCAUACGAUCUAUGGAUGAAAGCGGGGGACCGUAAGGCCUCGCGCGAUUGGAGCGGCCGAUGUCAGAUUAGGUAGUUGGUGGGGUAAAGGCUCACCAAGCCAAGGAUCUGUAGCUGGGCUGAGAGGACGACCAACCACACUGGGACUGAGACCCGGCCCAGACUCCUACGGGAGGCAGCAGUGGGGAAUUUUGGAAAAUGGGCGCAAGCCUGAUCCAGCAAUGCCGCGUGCAGGAAGAAGGCCUUCGGGUUGUAAACUGCUUUUGUACGGAACGAAAAGGUCUGGGUUAAUACCCUGGGCUGAUGACGGUACCGUAAGAAUAAGCACCGGCUAACUACGUGCCAGCCGCCGCAGUAAAAC